UCAAGUGAAGAAGCGCAUACGGUGGAUGCCUUGGCAGUCAGAGGCGAUGAAAGACGUGGUAGCCUGCGAAAAGCUUCGGGGAGUCGGCAAACAGACUGUGAUCCGGAGAUGUCUGAAUGGGGGAACCCAGCCAUCAUAAGAUGGUUAUCUUGUACUGAAUACAUAGGUGCAAGAGGCGAACCAGGGGAACUGAAACAUCUAAGUACCCUGAGGAAAAGAAAUCAACCGAGAUUCCCUUAGUAGUGGCGAGCGAACGGGGACCAGCCCUUAAGUUGUAUUGAGAUUAGCGGAACGUUCUGGAAAGGACGGCCAUAGUGGGUGAUAGCCCUGUACGCGAAAAUCCCUUUGCAAUGAAAUCGAGUAGGACGGGGCACGAGAAACCUUGUCUGAAUAUGGGGGGACCAUCCUCCAAGGCUAAAUACUACUGACUGACCGAUAGUGAACCAGUACCGUGAGGGAAAGGCGAAAAGAACCGCGGAGAGCGGAGUGAAAUAGAUCCUGAAACCGUAUGCGUACAAGCAGUGGGAGCCCACUUUGUUGGGUGACUGCGUACCUUUUGUAUAAUGGGUCAGCGACUUAUUUUCAGUGGCGAGCUUAACCGAAUAGGGGAGGCGUAGCGAAAGCGAGUCUUAAUAGGGCGUCUAGUCGCUGGGAAUAGACCCGAAACCGGGCGAUCUAUCCAUGGGCAGGUUGAAGGUUGGGUAACACUAACUGGAGGACCGAACCGACUACCGUUGAAAAGUUAGCGGAUGACCUGUGGAUCGGAGUGAAAGGCUAAUCAAGCUCGGAGAUAGCUGGUUCUCCUCGAAAGCUAUUUAGGUAGCGCCUCAUGUAUCACUGUAGGGGGUAGAGCACUGUUUCGGCUAGGGGGUCAUCCCGACUUACCAAACCGAUGCAAACUCCGAAUACCUACAAGUGCCGAGCAUGGGAGACACACGGCGGGUGCUAACGUCCGUCGUGAAAAGGGAAACAACCCAGACCGUCAGCUAAGGUCCCAAAGUCAUGGUUAAGUGGGAAACGAUGUGGGAAGGCUUAGACAGCUAGGAGGUUGGCUUAGAAGCAGCCACCCUUUAAAGAAAGCGUAAUAGCUCACUAGUCGAGUCGGCCUGCGCGGAAGAUGUAACGGGGCUCAAACCAUGCACCGAAGCUACGGGUAUCAUCUUAUGAUGAUGCGGUAGAGGAGCGUUCUGUAAGCCUGUGAAGGUGAGUUGAGAAGCUUGCUGGAGGUAUCAGAAGUGCGAAUGCUGACAUGAGUAACGACAAUGGGUGUGAAAAACACCCACGCCGAAAGACCAAGGUUUCCUGCGCAACGUUAAUCGACGCAGGGUUAGUCGGUCCCUAAGGCGAGGCUGAAAAGCGUAGUCGAUGGAAAACAGGUUAAUAUUCCUGUACUUCUGGUUAUUGCGAUGGAGGGACGGAGAAGGCUAGGCCAGCCUGGCGUUGGUUGUCCAGGUUUAAGGUGGUAGGCUGAGAUCUUAGGUAAAUCCGGGAUCUUAAGGCCGAGAGCUGAUGACGAGUGUUCUUUUAGAACACGAAGUGGUUGAUGCCAUGCUUCCAAGAAAAGCUUCUAAGCUUCAGGUAACCAGGAACCGUACCCCAAACCGACACAGGUGGUUGGGUAGAGAAUACCAAGGCGCUUGAGAGAACUCGGGUGAAGGAACUAGGCAAAAUGGCACCGUAACUUCGGGAGAAGGUGCGCCGGUGGAGGUGAAGCAUUUACUGCGUAAGCCCCUGCCGGUCGAAGAUACCAGGCCGCUGCGACUGUUUAUUAAAAACACAGCACUCUGCAAACACGAAAGUGGACGUAUAGGGUGUGACGCCUGCCCGGUGCCGGAAGGUUAAUUGAUGGGGUUAGCGCAAGCGAAGCUCUUGAUCGAAGCCCCGGUAAACGGCGGCCGUAACUAUAACGGUCCUAAGGUAGCGAAAUUCCUUGUCGGGUAAGUUCCGACCUGCACGAAUGGCGUAACGAUGGCGGCGCUGUCUCCACCCGAGACUCAGUGAAAUUGAAAUCGCUGUGAAGAUGCAGUGUAUCCGCGGCUAGACGGAAAGACCCCGUGAACCUUUACUAUAGCUUUGCACUGGACUUUGAAUUUGCUUGUGUAGGAUAGGUGGGAGGCUUUGAAGCGUGGACGCCAGUCUGCGUGGAGCCAACCUUGAAAUACCACCCUGGCAACUUUGAGGUUCUAACUCAGGUCCGUUAUCCGGAUCGAGGACAGUGUAUGGUGGGUAGUUUGACUGGGGCGGUCUCCUCCUAAAGAGUAACGGAGGAGUACGAAGGUGCGCUCAGACCGGUCGGAAAUCGGUCGUAGAGUAUAAAGGCAAAAGCGCGCUUGACUGCGAGACAGACACGUCGAGCAGGUACGAAAGUAGGUCUUAGUGAUCCGGUGGUUCUGUAUGGAAGGGCCAUCGCUCAACGGAUAAAAGGUACUCCGGGGAUAACAGGCUGAUACCGCCCAAGAGUUCAUAUCGACGGCGGUGUUUGGCACCUCGAUGUCGGCUCAUCACAUCCUGGGGCUGAAGCCGGUCCCAAGGGUAUGGCUGUUCGCCAUUUAAAGUGGUACGCGAGCUGGGUUUAGAACGUCGUGAGACAGUUCGGUCCCUAUCUGCCGUGGACGUUUGAGAUUUGAGAGGGGCUGCUCCUAGUACGAGAGGACCGGAGUGGACGAACCUCUGGUGUUCCGGUUGUCACGCCAGUGGCAUUGCCGGGUAGCUAUGUUCGGAAAAGAUAACCGCUGAAAGCAUCUAAGCGGGAAACUUGCCUCAAGAUGAGAUCUCACUGGAACCUUGAGUUCCCUAAAGGGCCGUCGAAGACUACGACGUUGAUAGGUUGGGUGUGUAAGCGCUGUGAGGCGUUGAGCUAACCAAUACUAAUUGCCCGUGAGGCUUGACCAU
rnacentral:rRNA from 1 species